rnacentral:rRNA from 1 species
GUGUCAGCAGCCGCGGUAAGACAGAGGUCCCGAGCGUUAGGCGGAAUCACUGGGCUUAAAGCGUGUGUAGGCGGACUUCUAAGUACCUUGUGAAAUCCCACGGCUUAACCGUGGAACUGCUUGGUAUACUGGUUGUCUUGGGCCAUCUAGGGGCUACUGGAACAAACGGUGGAGCGGUGAAAUGCGUAGAUAUCGUUUGGAACGCCAAUGGUGAAAACAAGUAGCUGGGGAUGUGCCGACGCUGAGACACGAAAGCCAGGGGAGCGAACGGGAUUAGAAACCCCAGUAGUCC